rnacentral:tRNA from 2 species
GGCCCGUUCGUAUAGUGGUUAGUACAUCACCCUUUCACGGUGUAAACACGGGUUCGACUCCCGUACGGGUCA